rnacentral:tRNA from 1 species
GUUAUUUUGGCAGAUGAGUGCAUUAGAUUUAGAAUCUACUUACGUAGGGGAACCCUACAGAUAACA